rnacentral:rRNA from 1 species
UACGUAGGUAGCGAGCGUUGUCCGGAUUUACUGGGCGUAAAGGGAGCGCAGACGGAACUGCAAGUCUGAUGUGAAAGCCCGGGGCUCAACCGCGGGACUGCAUCGGAUACUGUAGAUCUGGAGUGCCGGAGGGGCAAGCGGAAUUCCUGGUGUAGCGGUGAAAUGCGUAGAUAUCAGGAGGAACACCGGCGGCGAAGGCGGCUUGCUGGACGGCAACUGACGUUGAGGCUCGAAAGCGUGGGGAGCAAACAGGAUUAGAUA